GCAUGAGCAGGAAUAGCAACGUCAACUCCACCUUUCACACACUGACUAACUGGUGGUCCUGAACUCAAAAAGGACAAGUUUAAUUUAUUUUGGUUUUGGGGUGGGGAUGCUAUCGCUUGUUUUCAGGUUUUGCAACAUCCAGACGCUCAGCCAUCAAAACUGUCAAUUGAAACCAAUAGAAGCCAUACUUGUUUUUGUGUGUGAUUUACAUAGGGUGUUUGUUCUAAGUUCCACUUUUCAGUGUGUGUGAGAUUGAUAGUGAUAAAGGGAGGUGUGUGUGAAUCGCACCAGUCUCAGCAUGCUUUCUGUUGAUUCUGUGAAACUAUAAAGUGCCCUGCCUUAACAGAUCUGUGAUUCCAUAGAAGUGAAAUGAACUGUGAUGUUCUUGCAUCUCCCUCUCUGUAUAGCUUGUACCUCAUUGUCUUCUUCAUCUUCUCUCUCACAGGUAUAACAGACUCUUAAACCUGAUAGACAGUCUGGCCACCUGUAAUACCCCUCUAAUUUAUAUUGAGAACCCAUGGUAUUAUGGUUCAUUUAUGUGAGCAUAAGAAACUGCCUAUGCAAACUCUCUGUACUGACUAAAUUAAAGCUCAGACACACCGGUAGGAUUGUCAAACGUUUGCCUGCCGACAGUACUUAGCACCUCUGAACAGAGUGUCGGAAGUCAAUCUCUUUUAUGUUCAAACAGCAAAGACCUUGGAAGUCGACAGCUUUUAUCCCCUCUAUACCUGCCUCCUACACAACAAACCCUGAGACAUACUGCAGUAUGAGCUCAGCAGCCAUCGCUGUAGCUGUCAUCCACCAAAAAAUGCAGUCUCAAAGUAGUGAUGUGGGUCAAAGCCCAGGGGAGGUUUAGCUGGUGGUAACUGAGCCCAGUCUGCAGCAGCAGCCCGGGGGUGUGCAUUCAUCUUAAGACCGCUAGGUGUGUGCGUGGAUCCUGUGCGUGGAGCAGUCAUUUGUGCAGCCUUUGGUAUCUGUGUGAUGCCCAGAUACUGAGAGCACAGUGGGCCCAUGGUCACUAGCAUUGUCCCAGACUCAGUACUUAUCCCCUGAUCCCAGAAACACCACCUAACUCUCUUUGCAUGUUCUCAGGGUGUGAUAGUUGGUGUGGAUGAGGACAUGGCCUACUCCUGGGAGUGAUGUGGGAGUGACUGCUUGGAGAUGGCACCCCAAAAGCUCUCCAACAGAGCACCAUCAUGUCUGUGUUGUACUCUGCAGCCUCUGGCUAUGAGGUUACAAGGUGGAGAAUGUGUUGGGGAGGGAGGUGGGCCCCAUCAGCGCUUACGUCCGUGUGGUCACCAGGAAACCUGCCCUGUGCAUCGGCCUGGAAGACAUCUGCCUCUGAGGCUGUCAAAGUGGGGAGUGGGACCCCAUGAAAUAAAUAUGUAAGACUGAGGCCUCCUCAGCCCAGCCCCAUAAGCUCUCUCUGUACAGAAUGUGAAUAAUUGGUGAAAAAUAGAUCUGUUUGUGUGUUACUGAUGCGUUAGGACCCAGGAGCUGACAGCCCAAGGUUAGAACUGACAGACCAGAGGAGCAACAUAUGUCAAACUUGGCCCACGUGGGUCCAACUGGUGACUGUAAAAUAUGCCUGUUUGCUGUAAAUAGCCACACGUUUCUCUGUGUUUCCUUGAAUAUCUACCUCCUAAUAUAUCUCUGAAGAUGAAUGUUGCUUAUACUCAGUCAAUAAACCUUGUAUUAUGCUAGUGUAUGUAUAGUUAUUAUUAAAAAAAAAAA